UGUCCGUUGCCUCGCAACACUAAAAUUAAUACUGGCCGAGUUUACUUCAAUCGACAGACAUUUAGCAGUCAUGGAUCAAUUAACAGAGCUAGAGAAGAUCCAAAUGCAGCGUUUCUUAAAAGAGGAAGCCAAGGAAAGAGAAAUGUUGGAACGAAGCAAGAGAAUGCAGCAACGACAUCCGAAACGUCAGUAAACUUCCACCAGACCACACGGAGAAGAAACAAAGCAGACGACCAUCAACUAUAUAUGUCAUUCGUGAAAAUACCUUACAGGAUCGUUCGCCAUUAAGGAAAACCAAUAGACGCUACUUGUACGUUGUAAUAGUUCUGCUCCUGAUAUGCUUCGCCUGCAUGGCUACCGGGACGAUGGAAGUAUUAUGUACGCGUUGCACAAAUUGCAAAGAUGUGAAGAUAUCGUGGGUGGUACCAAAUUUCUUUUAUAAGCCAGGUGAUAAAAAAAUUGUAAUUUAAUAAUACGCUAAUCUUUCCGAACGAAAGUUUAUGUUAAUUAUGUUACCCGUAUUAACUCGGGCUAAAACUUACAUGAUCUAUAUUUGUACUCAGAAUAAAUAUUUUUUUAAAAAAAUA